AGACCACUACAGAAAACCAUAACCAAUCAAAAUACAAAGUUAUGGAGCCUAGUCCUAACUGAUACAGCUGCAGUGUAACUCCUCCACCUGAGGCUCAGGGCUCAUGGAAGAAGAUGGGGGUACCCAGGGGUGCAGCGGAUGAUGUGGCUGUGGCUCAAGGAUUCUGGCUGAAGAUGACGUUGAUGUCAAGCUCACGAGUCUUGCUUUCCAGUGGUGCUGGAGGUUUCAGACACUUUCCCUAAGAGGCAUGUUGUGUUUGUUCAUGUUCUGAUCUUGAUGCACAUGUUUGGCAAGUUCCCAUCACUGUGGCAAAGAUGCCUGAGGCAGGUGGCCAUAGAGUUGUGAGAGCAGCUGUGGUCUGUGAAGAAAGUGCGAUUGAAGUUCAAGAAGAACAAGUGUGACAGGCAAUGAAGUUUAGAUGGUUGGGGUUCAAGAGGAAAAUGCAUGACAGUGCAUACAGUUACCUGUGGAGACCAGAAGAUGUCAGAUGUCCUCCAAUUGUCUAACACGUGCUAUUGUCUCGCCAGCAAGAACACACGCGUGAGAAACCGGAUCCUUCUGCAGCAACUUUAUUACAC
rnacentral:lncRNA from 1 species